UACAUAGUCUACUGCGUUAUUCAUUAUAAACUUGAAUGUUGUUUUUAAAGAUAUGUUGGAUUAUUUGCAAUGCCAAAAAGAACAACAAAAAACGUUUACCUUUUAAACACGAUUUCUUCAAACAGAAUUGACUGAUCCACUAAAGUGAUAAUGACGCCAGUUAGGAAGAACACAGAUACUUUGUAUAUUCUGCUUGAAAGUUUGUUUCGAACACGUUACAUCACUAAUGUGGUCCUCAAAGAUUUAUGAGUUGUAUUUAUCUGUCAAUUUUGAGCCUCGAAGUUUACCAAAUGAGUCCACUCCAGCUUUAUACGAUGCCGUUGUCAUAGUGUGAUCAUUUGAAGAUUUUGAUAACCGUAGGAAGCUUCCGAAAAAGAACUUGGCCGUCAGUUAUACGAGAAGUUCGGAAAACAACAGCGUCUAUUUUAAGCUUAAUCCCUCUCCAAUUUGAUACCUAUGGAGCAACGAGAGAGCGCCUUUUUUUUGUCUCUUUUUCUUUGAAUGCAACUUGCUAUUUUAAGUGUGAGUGAUUAUAGUAGUAUGUUUUUUUUAUUCUGAAUGU